CCUAGCCCUUCAGAGGGGGACAACAGUUGGAAACGACUGCUAAUACCGCAUACGAUCCAAUCUCGGCAUCGAGACUGGAUGAAAGGUGGCCUCUAUUUAUAAGCUAUCACUGAAGGAGGGGAUUGCGUCUGAUUAGCUAGUUGGAGGGGUAACGGCCCACCAAGGCGAUGACCAGUAGCCGGUCUGAGAGGAUGAACGGCCACAUUGGGACUGAGACACGGCCCAG
rnacentral:rRNA from 1 species